rnacentral:rRNA from 1 species
AUUGAACGCUGGCGGCAGGCCUAACACAUGCAAGUCGAACGAGCGGCGGACGGGUGAGUAAUGUCUGGGAAACUGCCUGAUGGAGGGGGAUAACUACUGGAAACGGUAGCUAAUACCGCAUACCAUCGGAUGUGCCCAGAUGGGAUUAGCUAGUAGGGUGGGUAAAGGCUCACCUAGGCGACGAUGCCUAGCUGGUCUGAGAGGAUGACCAGCCACACUGGAACUGAGACACGGUCCAGACUCCUACGGGAGGCAGCAGUGGGGAAUAGUGGACAAUGGGCGAAAGCCUGAUGCAGCCACGCCGCGUGUGUGAAGAAGGCCUUCGGGUUGUAAAGCUCUUUCAGCGAGGAGGCGUUACCCGCAGAAGAAGCAACGGCUAACUCCGUGCCAGCAGCCGCGGUAAUAC